UACGAAGGGGGCUAGCGUUGCUCGGAAUACUGGGCGUAAAGCGUGCGCAGGCGGUUCGUUAAGUCAGAUGUGAAAGCCCCGGGCUCAACCUGGGAACUGCAUUUGUGACUGCAUCGCUGGAGUGCGGCAGAGGGGGAUGGAAUUCCGCGUGUAGCAGGUGAAAUGCGUAGAUAUGCGGAGGAACACCGAUGGCGAAGGCAAUCCCCUGGGCCUGCACUGACGCUCAUGCACGAAAGCGUGGGGAGCAAACAGG
rnacentral:rRNA from 1 species